UACGGGAGGCAGCAGUGGGGAAUAUUGCACAAUGGGCGCAAGCCUGAUGCAGCCAUGCCGCGUGUAUGAAGAAGGCCUUCGGGUUGUAAAGUACUUUCAGCGGGGAGGAAGGCGAUGCGGUUAAUAACCGCGUCGAUUGACGUUACCCGCAGAAGAAGCACCGGCUAACUCCGUGCCAGCAGGCGCGGUAAUACGGAGGGUGCAAGCGUUAAUCGGAAUUACUGGGCGUAAAGCGCACGCAGGCGGUCUGUUAAGUCAGAUGUGAAAUCCCCGGGCUUAACCUGGGAACUGCAUUUUGAAACUGGCAGGCUUGAGUCUUGUAGAGGGGGUAGAAUUCCAGGUGUAGCGGUGAAAUGCGUAGAGAUCUGGAGGAAUACCGGUGGCGAAGGCGGCCCCUGGGACAAAGACUGACGCUCAGGGUGCGAAAGCGUGGGGAGCAAACAGGGAUUAGAUACC
rnacentral:rRNA from 1 species